rnacentral:snRNA from 1 species
GUGCUCGCUUCAGCAGCACAUUACUAAAAUUGGAAUGAUACAGAGAAGGUUAGCAUAGCCCCUGUGCAAGUUUGACACAUAAAUUCAUGAAGUGUUCCAUAUUAAA